rnacentral:rRNA from 1 species
AUGCGGCGGGCGAGCUGGAUGUCCUUGGGCAUGAUGGUGACGCGCUUGGCGUGGAUGGCGCAGAGGUUGGUGUCCUCGAACAUCCCCACCAGGUACGCCUCGGCGGCCUCCUGCAGCGCGGAGACGGCGGAGGACUGGAAGCGGAGGUCGGUCUUGAAGUCCUGGGCGAUCUCCCGGACGAGGCGCUGGAAGGGGAGCUUGCGGAUGAGCAGCUCCGUGCUCUUCUGGUACUUGCGGAUCUCCCGGAGGGCGACGGUGCCGGGGCGGAAACGGUGGGGCUUCUUGACGCCGCCGGUGGCUGGGGCGGACUUGCGCGCCGCCUUGGUCGCCAGCUGCUUCCUCGGCGCCUUGCCGCCGGUGGACUUGCGCGCCGUCUGCUUCGUGCGGGCCAUCUGCGCGGGUGGGAUGGGCGAGCGGUAG